rnacentral:rRNA from 1 species
GAUGAACGCUGGCGGCGUGCCUAAUACAUGCAAGUCGAGCGAACAGACGAGGAGCUUGCUCCUUUGACGUUAGCGGCGGACGGGUGAGUAACACGUGGGUAACCUACCUAUAAGACUGGGAUAACUUCGGGAAACCGGAGCUAAUACCGGAUAAUAUUUCGAACCGCAUGGUUCGAUAGUGAAAGAGGGUUUUGCUAUCACUUAUAGAUGGACCUGCGCCGUAUUAGCUAGUUGGUAAGGUAACGGCUUACCAAGGCAACGAUACGUAGCCGACCUGAGAGGGUGAUCGGCCACACUGGAACUGAGACACGGUCCAGACUCCUACGGGAGGCAGCAGUAGGGAAUCUUCCGCAAUGGGCGAAAGCCUGACGGAGCAACGCCGCGUGAGUGAUGAAGGUCUUCGGAUCGUAAAACUCUGUUAUUAGGGAAGAACAAACGUGUAAGUAACUGUGCACGUCUUGACGGUACCUAAUCAGAAAGCCACGGCUAACUACGUG